rnacentral:rRNA from 1 species
CCUACGGGAGGCAGCAGUGGGGAAUAUUGGGCAAUGGGCGCAAGCCUGACCCAGCAACGCCGCGUGAAGGAAGAAGGCUUUCGGGUUGUAAACUUCUUUUCUCAGGGACGAAGCAAGUGACGGUACCUGAGGAAUAAGCCACGGCUAACUACGUGCCAGCAGCCGCGGUAAUACGUAGGUGGCAAGCGUUAUCCGGAUUUACUGGGUGUAAAGGGCGUGUAGGCGGUUUAGUAAGAUAGUGGUGAAAUCCCAGGGCUUAACUUUGGAAUUGCCAUUAUAACUAUUAGACUAGAAUUACAGAGAGGAUAGUGGGAUACCCAGUGUAGAGGUGAAAUUCGUAGAUAUUGGGUAGAACACCAGUGGCGAAGGCGACUAUCUGGCUGUACAUUGACGCUGAGGCUCGAAAGCAUGGGGAUCAAACAGGAUUAGAUACCCCAGUAGUC